GGGGAUUUAGCUCAGCGGCAAAAGUGCCUGCCUUGGAAGCAGGCAGUCGUGAGUUUAUUUCCCG
rfam:Cavia porcellus supercont2_52 genomic scaffold, whole genome shotgun sequence.